CUUCCACACCAUAUUAUUAUCAUUAAUUACCCACCUUUCUUCAGACACAACUGCUGGUGAUGCUAAAAAUUUCCUUUUGUGCUCUCCAAUUUUUUUCAAAAUGGCAGACUACAAGAAUAUGAAAUUCAUUUCAUAUUAGGCAAAUAAACUUUUGGGAACAGAAUGAGGAAGAAAUAGUCUCUGAUAACUUUUCCCAUCAAGAUUUAUAUAUUUUACAUGUAUCAUCAGCAAAAUUGUCUACUUCUUUGUCUUUUUUUGCUCCCUGAGCUGUCUUGACUUUCCACUGUCUAGUGAAUGCAAAUCUAGUUUUAUCCACCAUGGUCAUGGAAUAGGGAUAUUUUCCUAAACAAAUAAUCUAGGUAAAAGAGAAAUUACCAUAUAGAUCAUAAUAUUUUAAUAACUUUUUAUUGACAGCACAUAUGCAUGGGUAAUUUUUUACAACAUUAUCCCUUGCAUUCACUUCUAUUCUGACUUUUCCCUUCUCUCCCUCCAUCCCCUCCCCUAGAUGGCAGGCAGUCUAAUACAUGUUAAAUAUGUUACAGUAUAUCCUAGAUACAAUAUAUAUGUGCAGAACCAAACAGUUCUCUUGUUGCACAGGAAGAAUUGAAUUUAGAAGGUAAAAAUAACCUGAGAAUAAAAACAAAAAUGUGAAUAGUUCACACUCAUUUCCCAGUGUUCCUUCUCUGGGUGUAGCUGAUUCUGUCCAUCAUUAGAUCAUAAUAUUUUAAAAGUAAUUUUACUUUUUUUAUUCUGAUCACUCCCCCAAAAAAGGCAUUUCCAAAUGCUCAGUAGAACAUAAAAAGUAGACUAUAUAUCAAACUAUGAAAUCAUUUCAAACUGCUUGCUUUUGGGGAGGAAAAACUAUAAUUAAAAACUACCUAAUGUAAUAUAAAUUCUACAUAUUACUUUCAAAGUUGUUCUGUCUGUGCUUCCUUCUUGAAUUGCCUUCUUUUUUCUUCUAUAUGUUUUUAACAUAUUACAAUGGCUGCCUAGGGGAUAUCUAUGUUGCUAACCUCUUCUUCUAUUCUAUAAUCCCGCCUUCUAUUCACAGAUGAGACAAAAAAGGAAAAAAAAAACCUUCAUGUUACAUAUAAGGUCUGGAUCUCUAUCUACUGCACCACCUGCCUGCUCCUCACCAUUUCCUAGCAAGCUUAUAUUUCUGAGUCAAAGGGUAUGGACAUUUUAGUCAUUUUAUUUGCAUAAUUCCAGGUUGCUUUCUAGAAUGGUUUUGUUGAAUCACAAAUUCCACCAGCACUGCCCUAAUAUCCUGUUUUCCCACAGCCCUUCCAACAUUAACAAUUCCCAUCUCUUGUUAUCUUUGCCACUUUGCAGUAUGGGGCUAAAUCUUGGGGUUGUUUUGAUUUAAUUCCUCUUAUCAUUAGUGAUUUAGAAAGUUUGAUUUAUUUCCACAUUAAGCUUUAUGUAUGUGUAAGUAUGUGUGUGUGUUCAACCCUCCCCAUCCAUUUUAAACAAGAGUACGUUCAUCUGAUGCCUUUCCUUCCACCCGAUUUCUCUUUGUUUCUGUAUAUUACCCAAUUGAUGGCAUUCACUCAUUUCCUAAUUCAAAUAAAUCUGAAUUAAACUGUAACUUGAUUGUUAAAACUUGGCAGAGAACUGGAAAUUAAGUGGAUGUCCAUCAAUUAGAGAAUGACUAAAUUAAGUUAUGGUAUAUGAAAAUAAUAGAAUAUUAUUAUUUUAUAAGAAAUGAUGAGGAGGCUGAUUUUAGAAAAGCCUCGAAGAAUUUACACAGACUGAUGCUGAGUGAAGAAGACCUAGGAGAACAUUGUCCACAGCAAUGGCAAGAUUGUGUGGUGAUCAAGUAUGAUAGAAUUUCAGAGAUUCAAGGCAAUUCCAAUAAAUUUUAGGUGGAAAAUCCAUCUUUAUCCAGAGAGAGAAUUAUGGAGAUCUAAGAAGAUUAUUUUCGUCUUUUUUUUUUUCUUCUGUUUUUUUGUUUCCUCAUGAUUUUUCCCCUUUGUUCUGAUUUUUCUCUCCCAACAUGACUCAUAUGGAAAUAUGUAAAAAACAAAUAAAUAAAAACCACCAUAUGUAAUCUAAAUAAAAUGAAAUAAUUUUUUUUAAA